UCCCAACGCACACUACCUUGUAACCAAGACAGAGAGGGGACGCAAGCUUUUCACUUCAAGGAAGAAUGUGGAGAGGUGGUGGACAGCAAUCUCGGAUCGGCCUUCAUGGAAGCGGGUGGUCCAAAUUCAGAGUGAGCAUCCAGAUCCACUGGAGAAAUUGGAGAACUAGAGUUACGUUUGGAUGACUUUGUUUGCUGUGUGCUUUAGCUUCCCUUCAUGUUGUGGCUUCUUCUGUUGUUGUGUGUUUGUAACUAUAUGCAAGUCUUCUUGACUUGCAUCUGUCGUGGAUAAAGAUCUUCUGUAUCUACAAAAAAUAAAAAAUAGAAAAAGGAAUGUUAAGAAUAAUAAGAUUUCGUGGGGACAAAUAUUCCUUUGAGCUAAAUAUGUGAGAUCCCCUUAGCUAGAUAUGAGCAUAGGGUUUGUACCAGUAGUAACAUCUUGCAUGUAUCAUUCCAUGCAUUAUAUAUUUUAUUUCAUCGAAAA
rnacentral:lncRNA from 1 species